UUAUUAAAUAAAGGUGUGUGAAAAUGUAAAAUAAAGUCACAUUGUCCAUGUGACUUAGGAGAGUGGUGUAGGUGUAGUUUUUGGGAGGUGUCAUAGUAGAAAAAGGUCACACCUCCCAUGUGACUUGUUUUUGGUGGGAAUUUCAAAUGAGUUUAUUUGAAAUUUCCCACCUAUUUUUCAGCACCUUAGGCUAUAAAUAGAGGUGCUUCCUUUGUAAAAUGGAGA
rnacentral:lncRNA from 1 species